ensembl:snoRNA SNORD18 Small nucleolar RNA SNORD18
CUGGAAUGAUGAGAUUCCACUUCAUUGGUCCGUGUUUCUGAAACACAUGAUGUGUGGAAGUUCUGACUUG